rnacentral:misc_RNA from 1 species
UGAAAUACAUAUGUAUAUUACAUGAAAUGAAACUUUAAACAGCUGGAAUGAAAAUCGAUCAUACUAUUAGGUAGAAGAAAAACGCAUUUUUUUUCCUUAUGAAACAAUUUUAAUUUGCUCUCAAACCUAAGUUUUGUUUGGUUUGUAAAUAAAACGGGUGUUAAGUUCCAAUAACUUUAUUUAAAAAAAUGCCAGUGGACCAGAUACAGUAUUCAGAAAGAUAUAACGAUGACGUUUACGAAUAUAGGCACGUCAUUCUUCCACCGGAUAUAGCAAGACUAGUACCAAAAUCUCAUCUCAUGACUGAAACGGAAUGGAGAAACCUAGGUGUCCAGCAGAGCCCUGGUUGGCUGCAUUUCAUGGUGCAUAAUCCUGAACCCCACGUCCUAUUAUUUAGACGACCUAGGAGUGACAUUCCUGCUCCAGUUAAUGGCCUAGAUGCAAGUACUUCCUCUACUGUAAAAGUUUGAUAUUUCUAAUAUUAAUUUUAGAUAAUGUGGCCACACAUUUAUUAUAUUACUAGCCGAGUAUCUUCAACCAGUGUUAAAAAAAAUAUUGUUAUUAAAAAAAAUAUUGUUAAAUGAUCUAAAUGGAAAAAACUUGUAAUAAAUGCAAAAGCAUGCAACGUAAUUAACAUACAUUAAAAUUUCUUCCAAUUUAACAGUUUUCGUUUAAGUUGGGUUUUAAGAUGAAUUGCAUCACAAGUAUUAAAUAAAUAAUCAACUGUUAUGUUAAUGUUACUUUAUGUAAUUAUUAUAUGUAUUGUAACUUAUGUAAUAACCGUGAUAAUAAAAGUGCUAGAGUUGUGAUAAUUUGUAGAAUACUUGUUAUUGAUUGUAGGCGCUUAAAACGAUGUAAGCAAGUGGCCUUAGACUGAUGUAUGGUAAUCGUAAUUAAUAAGUGCAUACAUGAUGUAUAAAUACAAAUUAUAUUUAAAAUGCUAUCGAUUUAUUUUAAAACAAUAUAAACGUGCCUAACAUAUUGUUAACCAAAUAAAAAUUAUUACGUUUCUUUUAUGAGUUGUUUUUAUUUGUUUUUCAGUUAUUUGCUUUCAGUUUGUAACAUCUAGGAUUUAGUAUAUCAA